UGGGGAAUAUUGCACAAUGGGCGCAAGCCUGAUGCAGCGACGCCGCGUGGGGGAUGACGGCCUUCGGGUUGUAAACUCCUUUCGCUAGGGACGAAGCUUUUUGUGACGGUACCUAGAUAAGAAGCACCGGCCAACUACGUGCCAGCAGCCGCGGUAAUACGUAGGGUGCGAGCGUUGUCCGGAAUUACUGGGCGUAAAGGGCUCGUAGGUGGUUUGUCGCGUCGUCUGUGAAAUUCCGGGGCUUAACUCCGGGCGUGCAGGCGAUACGGGCAUAACUUGAGUACUGUAGGGGUAACUGGAAUUCCUGGUGUAGCGGUGAAAUGCGCAGAUAUCAGGAGGAACACCGAUGGCGAAGGCAGGUUACUGGGCAGUUACUGACGCUGAGGAGCGAAAGCAUGGGUAGCGAACAGG
rnacentral:rRNA from 1 species